rnacentral:rRNA from 1 species
CCUACGGGAGGCAGCAGUGAGGAAUAUUGGUCAAUGGGCGCGAGCCUGAACCAGCCAAGUAGCGUGAAGGAUGACUGCCCUACGGGUUGUAAACUUCUUUUAUAUGGGAAUAAAACAGGGUAUGCAUACCCUCUUGUAUGUACCAUAUGAAUAAGGAUCGGCUAACUCCGUUCCAGCAGCCGCGGUAAUACGGAGGAUCCGAGCGUUAUCCGGAUUUAUUGGGUUUAAAGGGAGCGUAGGUGGAUUGUUAAGUCAGUUGUGAAAGUUUGCGGAUCAACCGUAAAAUUGCAGUUGAAACUGGCAGUCUUGAGUACAGUAGAGGUGGGCGGAAUGCGUGGUGUAGCGGUGAAAUGCUUAGAUAUCACGAAGAACUCCGAUUGCGAAGGCAGCUCACUGGACUGCAACUGACACUGAUGCUCGAAAGUGUGGGUAUCAAACAGGAUUAGAUACCCGAGUAGUC